CGGAGGGAGCUAGCGUUGUUCGGAAUUACUGGGCGUAAAGCGCACGUAGGCGGCUUUGUAAGUUAGAGGUGAAAGCCCGGGGCUCAACUCCGGAACUGCCUUUAAGACUGCAUCGCUUGAAUCCGGGAGAGGUGAGUGGAAUUCCGAGUGUAGAGGUGAAAUUCGUAGAUAUUCGGAAGAACACCAGUGGCGAAGGCGGCUCACUGGACCGGUAUUGACGCUGAGGUGCGAAAGCGUGGGGAGCAAAACAGGAUUAGAUACCCUGGUAGUCCACGCCGUAAACGAUGAUAACUAGCUGUCAGGGCCCUUAGGGUUUUGGUGGCGCAGCUAACGCAUUAAGUUAUCCGCCUGGGGAGUACGGCCGCAAGGUUAA
rnacentral:rRNA from 1 species